CAGUAGCCGCGGGAAAACAGAGGGUGCGAGCGUUAAUCGGAUUUACUGGGCGUAAAGCGUGCGUAGGCGGCUUCUUAAGUCGGAUGUGAAAUCCCUGAGCUUAACUUAGGAAUUGCAUUCGAUACUGGGAAGCUAGAGUAUGGGAGAGGAUGGUAGAAUUCCAGGUGUAGCGGUGAAAUGCGUAGAGAUCUGGAGGAAUACCGAUGGCGAAGGCAGCCAUCUGGCCUAAUACUGACGCUGAGGUACGAAAGCAUGGGGAGCAAACAGGAUUAGAGACCCCUGUAGUCCCUGUCUCUUAUAA
rnacentral:rRNA from 1 species